UACGUAGGGUGCGAGCGUUAAUCGGAAUUACUGGGCGUAAAGCGUGCGCAGGCGGUUUUGUAAGUCAGAUGUGAAAUCCCCGGGCUCAACCUGGGAACUGCGUUUGAAACUAGCGGGCUUGAGUGUGGCAGAGGGGGGUGGAAUUCCACGUGUAGCAGUGAAAUGCGUAGAGAUGUGGAGGAACACCGAUGGCGAAGGCAGCCCCCUGGGUCAACACUGACGCUCAUGCACGAAAGCGUGGGGAGCAAACAGG
rnacentral:rRNA from 1 species